rnacentral:tRNA from 1 species
GCCUUAAUAGCUCAGUGGUAGAGCGUUCCACUCGUAUGUCGAAAUGGAAAGGUCUGGUGUUCAAUCCACCAUUGAGGCA